rnacentral:rRNA from 1 species
CCCUACGGGGUGCACCAGGGAAGAUACCGGAAUCGCAGCAUUAAAAUUGAGAGUGCCAAUACUGCCAAUAACAACAGACCGAUGAUCGGAGUUUUUGACAGAAAAAGUGUGCAGGUAAGGAUGAAAAACAGGAUGCUGAAAAAUAUCAAUAAUACCGGGUAAGCUGCUAAUAAACAGAGGGAUAAAGCGGCGAGGAUUGCUAAGAAAAACUGAAAAUAUAUGAGAUUUUUUCCGGUUAUUGUUGUGUAGUCCAUAUAUGCAAUCUCCGGUAAGGUUCCAGGAUAUCAUCUUUUUUGUACAAUCGGAAUUCAAUUUUCUGUUUUUCCGAGUUGGAGCCCGAUAUCAUUGGCAGCGAUUGACGCACCAGCCAUUUUUCAUUAUCGUUCAAAGAGACAUUCUGGCGGGAAGGC